CUGCUCAAACGAUCUAUGCUUCUUCUAAUCUCAUUACUGAAACAGAUUACACAUUUGCGGAUUCAGAAGUUAGCAAGGAGGCAAGCUCACGAAAGCGGUUAAAAAGUGAAUGUUGCAGCUCUCCGAGAUCUAAGGCAUGCAGAGAGAAAUUGCGGAGGGACAGACUGAAUGAGAGGUUCCUCGCAUUGAGCUCUGUCCUUGAUCCUGGAAGGCCACCAAAAACUGAGAAAGUUGCAAUUCUAAGUGAUGCUCAAAGGAUGCUGAUUGAGCUGCGAACUGAAACCCAGAAGCUGAAGGAGUCAAAUGAGGAGCUGCAAGG
rnacentral:misc_RNA from 1 species